rnacentral:rRNA from 1 species
GACGAACGCUGGCGGCGUGCUUAACACAUGCAAGUCGAACGGAAAGGCCCUGCUUUUGUGGGGUGCUCGAGUGGCGAACGGGUGAGUAACACGUGAGUAACCUGCCCUUGACUUUGGGAUAACUUCAGGAAACUGGGGCUAAUACCGGAUAGGAGCUCCUGCUGCAUGGUGGGGGUUGGAAAGUUUCGGCGGUUGGGGAUGGACUCGCGGCUUAUCAGCUUGUUGGUGGGGUAGUGGCUUACCAAGGCUUUGACGGGUAGCCGGCCUGAGAGGGUGACCGGCCACAUUGGGACUGAGAUACAGCCCAGACUCCUACGGGAGGCAGCAGUGGGGAAUAUUGCACAAUGGGCGGAAGCCUGAUGCAGCAACGCCGCGUGCGGGAUGACGGCCUUCGGGUGGUAAACCGCUUUCGCCUGUGACGAAGCGUGAGUGACGGUAAUGGGUAAAGAAGCACCGGCUAACUACGU